CGGCGCCAUCUUGGGAGCGCCUGGGCGGUCGUUCUGGUCUCGCGUCCCUCGCAGCCCGGCCCCUCGGCUUCGCAGGCUGAGCUAUUAUUUCUAUUAAGUCGAACUCAGAAGGGCAUCUUCUUAUUUUGAAGGUAGUGAGCCAGAAACAUUCUAUCGAGACUGCAACUGAUGUAAAUGGUGGCUCAGAGACUGGUAUAGUCAGUAAUAACUGUGGCUCCAAUGGCCAGACUUCCCAGAGACCUCGGGACGGUGGAGGUGAGCCUCCAAUGCCAGCUUGCUUCCUCAGCCGCUUCGCCACUCAAGACCUCUGUGAUAUUUCCAAUCUUCCAAAAGGGAUGACCGCCUUCCAGAACACUUGGGUUUCCUGCCAGCAUCUGGUGGUUAUGGAACUCACCAAAGAGUUCUGAUCCCUGCCUCUUCAUCAGGUUGUCGAGACCACCUGUGAGACUUGGACACCCACGACUCUAGACAAGGUCUCUGCCAGCUCUGUGGAGUCCACUGCGAUGAGUUUGACAAAAAGUCUCAGCAGUUUCCUGCGGCUGUAGUGAAGUGGCUGUUAAGGUUGGGUACAAAGGAACUCACCGGUAUGUUCCACACUGUGGGUGUCCAGAUGCACAGUUUAGAAAUGGGCUUGCCUGUCUGUCUGAUCCCAUGAGGUAGCUUCUAAGGAACGGCUGUGGUGGAGUUUUAUGUUAAUCACAAGAGUGCAGUGAUAAGCACAUCUUAUUUUACUUUCUCACUUAUGUGGUCACUGUUUGUUCAUUUUGAUCCUGCAGAGUAAGGGUUCUAAGAAAAAGAGAAAAAUAGUUUCCUUCUAUACUACCAGAGUGGAAGUGGAGAUGCAAACGUUUCUCUUGGGUAAGUCUCUCUGUACAGUGUUUAACAAGUUUCUAUGUUUCUUCAGGCAAAAUGUACAUCUGCUUGUUUUCUUCGAUUUCCUUCUUUUUUUUUAAGGUAUGGAUUAACUAUAUUUAACCCCUUCCCCAAUCUCUCAUUUCUUUUUUCUUUAGUUUAUUUACUUAUUUCGAUAUAUAUAUAUAU